rnacentral:hammerhead_ribozyme from 1 species
AUCCAGCUGACGAGUCCCGAAUAAGACGAAACGUGCAUCCUGGAU